rnacentral:misc_RNA from 1 species
AAGUCGUAACAAGGUUUCCGUAGGUGAACCUGCGGAAGGAUCAUUACCAAAAAUUAUAAAUUUCAACCCAUGUGCACUGUGAAUGUAUUGUCUUGGUUUUUGGGGUGGGCUUGGGUUCACCCCAACCAUUUUGUUAAACUACUGUUUAUAUUAGUCAUGGCAUCGAAAUUGUCUUAAUAAAUAUUAUGACAACUUUUAACGGUGGAUCUCUUGGCUCGU